AAUUGCGAUGAGACUGCAAGGCUAGAUCUGCAGAGGGGGUAGAAUUCCACGUGUAGCAGUGAAAUGCGUAGAGAUGUGGAGGACACCGAUGGCGAAGGCAGCCCCUGGGUCAAGAUUGACGCUCAUGCACGAAAGCGUGGGGAGCAAACAGGAUUAGAUACCCUGGUAGUCCACGCCGUAAACGAUGAUAACUAGCUGCUAGGGCCCACAGGGCUUUGGUGGCGCAGCUAACGCAUUAAGUUAUCCGCCUGGGGAGUACGGUCGCAAGAUUAAAACUCAAAGGAAUUGACGGGGGCCUGCACAAGCGGUGGAGCAUGUGGUUUAAUUCGACGCAACGCGCAGAACCUUACCAGCGUUUGACAUCCUUAUCGCGGAUUCCAGAGAUGGUUUCCUUCAGCUCGGCUGGAUAAGUGACAGGUGCUGCAUGGCUGUCGUCAGCUCGUGUCGUGAGAUGUUGGGUUAAGUCCCGCAACGAGCGCAACCCUUGCCAUUAGCUGCUACGAAAGGGCACUCUAAUGGGACUGCCGGUGAUAAACCGGAGGAAGGUGGGGAUGACGUCAAGUCCUCAUGGCCCUUAUAGGUGGGGCUACACACGUCAUACAAUGGCUGGUACAAAGGGUUGCCAACCCGCGAGGGGGAGCUAAUCCCAUAAAACCAGUCGUAGUCCGGAUCGCAGUCUGCAACUCGACUGCGUGAAGUCGGAAUCGCUAGUAAUCGUGGAUCAGAAUGUCACGGUGAAUACGUUCCCGGGUCUUGUACACACCGCCCGUCACACCAUGGGAGCGGGUUCUGCCAGAAGUAGUUAGCCUAACCGCAAGGAGGGCAAUUACCACGGCAGGGUUCGUGACUGGGGUGAAGUCGUAACAAGGUAACCAAGGG
rnacentral:rRNA from 1 species